AAUUGGAAAAGCAAUUAAAGUGAGGUCUCCUAGGUGAGGCUUAGACUUUGGAUCUAAGACACACUCACCGACUACUCAAUUUUAGGUUGUGAGACUUCUUUGAGUCUAGUUACAAAUGAGGGAAGAGCACUUGUGAACUCUAUCACCUCACUUGCUUGGAUUUAGAACUUACAACCAAAAACCAAUGGAAAUUACAAAGAACUUGGUAAAUGAAAA
rnacentral:lncRNA from 1 species